rnacentral:piRNA from 2 species
UAAUCUGCGCAUGUGCCAAGGGUAU